rnacentral:tRNA from 1 species
GCGAGAGUGGCGUAAUUGGUAGCCGCGCAGGACUUAGGAUCCUGUGCCGCAAGGCGUGGGGGUUCGAGUCCCCCCUCUCGCA